UCCGUGAGCUAGCAUUUAUAUUGAGCGAUAAUCUUGCACAUCCGCGCAAAAGUUGUUGAUUGUCUGAACUCGGAACGCAAUUAUUUUAUUUGGAGUUCUAUCUGAUCCUUACAAGCUGCAGCUCUCCGAAGAUGGCUGAAGAAAACGAAGAAACCGUUGACGCGAACACUAACGUUCCUCUGUGGGUCAACGUCACUGUUCCGAUAGCCUUGUGUGCGAUGUUUAUUUUCGUCCUCGUGUGGCUGUAUAAGACAAAACGAGAGGUUUCCGUUGAAAAACUUGAACAUUUGGCCGGUAAACUACCAAUUCUUAGAAACCAUCUUACGACGGAAUGGGUAUGUGAAGAAGAAGUCGCAGUUCAAGUCCAAGAAGAAAAACCAGCGAUUACUACAUUCGUUGAACCAGGAAAGGCCGGAGUUGCUCUGGACAAGGGAGGCAAAAUUUCGGUGUCUAAAACCCUGGGAAUGGAAAUCUCCUUUGUUUCGGGGCAUGACCAUGCAGGUCAAAUGACGUACACAAACGCAGGUUUUGAUAAUAAUUGUGAAAGAUUUUGCACUAAGUUGUAAUGAAAUUACGAGGAUUUACUGGAGGUGUUUGCUUGGCGCUGUUGUUUAAUAACUAACGUCCAGUAUAGCGUUGUCUACAAACAACAUGUUCAAAUCACCUUCAAAAUUUUAGACGUAUUUUUUUACAAACAAACAGUUUGAAGUUUGACAUUUGUUCUAUAUGAUAAAUCUAUGUAUUUCUUGUAAAAUGUAAACGGAGCUAAUAUAAGCGAAUGCUAGGGUUGUGUCAGGGUCGCUCAUUUGUAAGCCUGGAAUUUUAUACAUACACUAUCUAGAACACUCUUAAGACUCAAACUGUUCAGCAGAUACGAACGUUUGAGACUGAAGUUUCAGAUAUAAUUUGGAGUGCUUCUAUUGUAUGUGUGUUAAAAUAGUCGUACCAUGAACCUUAAUUAUAAAAGAAAUUAGUCUAGAAUAUAC